GGGGAUUUAGCUCAGCGGCAUAAGCGCCUGCCUUGCAAGCAGGCAGUCGUGAGACUGAUCCCCG
rnacentral:tRNA from 1 species